rnacentral:lncRNA from 1 species
CGCAGCUUGCCGUAUUCCUCCCCCUGUUUGUUGCUCUUCAAUGGUAGUAGAUGAAUCAUGGUCAGGAGAUGAAUCAUGGUCAUGAGCGGCCGCAAGUUGUUGUUGCCAAUUGCAUUUUUUGCUCGUCCCAGCCAUUUUCCCCACUAAAAAACAUGGAUAAGGACAUCAUCGAAAAUGCAUAUUCAGGUGGCUUGUAUGAAAUUUCCAGGACACUAACUAAAAAGAAUUAGCAAGCUCUUGAAAUGUGAAGGAAAAUAACACAUGAGCAAAGUUCAUGUGUUAAUUGAGGCAACUACCUAUAUAGUGUUGGUCAAGUUUUGGCAAAACUCAAAGCCACCAAAUUAACAAAACCAUUAAAAGCAAAUUUUGAACCAUACCAGGCAACUGAGUAACAAACAUUAGGCAAGUUUAGGAUUGUUCAUUAUCUGAAGUGUUCCACCCAGACACAAAAAGGCUCAAUCUCCACUCUGGAUAAAAAAUAGCUACACAUUGUUCGGCUCCCUUAUUAAGUGUACCAAAUGCUUAGUUCAAAAUCUCGAUCAAUGAAUUAGUGUGUGCGAGUUUUUGGUACUCUGAGUAAGCAAAGUUUGGACACGUUGGCUAGUAACGAAAGCUACGAGCAACUAGUGCAUGUUGUCUACUUCUAGGAAAAGGCCUAUCAACAUUAAGCCCAAAACCAUCACGUCAAACUCUCCAUGCCUAUCAUCCUCACCAUAUCCACAACAUAAACUCACCCCCUCUCCUCCCGCCCGUCGCUUGCUACCCACCUCCGCUAGCGGGCGCAUUGUGGGAGUUCAGGCUUUGAAAAUUGCCACUACCACAUCGCAACUCCCACGAAAACUUGCACUACGGCCACACGACCAAAUGGCGACAACUGGGAAAACCAUUAGGCAAGUCAAAAGGCAAAAACAAGCAACUACUUAUCAAUGUUAUGCAAGUUUUGUGAAAAAAGAGGGGAACCACACUAGUGCCAAGCUCAAAAAACCGCAGAUCUGGCAACUCGUACCACACAUCUGGCAACUCACGCCCGUAGAUCUGGCAACUCGUAGCCUCUGCCUCACAACUUCCCACCCACACCCCUCUCAAACUUCGCCAAGAUAAUGUUGACUUUGAGGUAGACGUCGCCAUCGACUCUCCCUAGCUAUCGUCCUCGGGAUCAAUAGCUACGUAGAAACAAAAAGGCUCAAGUUGUGCUUGCGGUGUACGCAAAUUUUGUGAGUUAAAACCUAUUUAUGCAGGCAGCUUAUUAGUUUGUUGUCAAAAAAGGAGAAGGGUAAAUCAAAAGCAAGUUUUCCUGUAAUGUAGGCAAUUUGCAUAUAAGUUUUAGGCAACUCCCUUUUUUGCUGAACAAAGAAGCGAAAAACCACCUACUGGGGACGCAUCAAAACACAUGUUGGAAAGCUCUGGGGUUGUGCGAAGUUUACCUAGGAGUUACUGGUGAAACAUUUUUGCUUGCGAAUAAACGGGGCCAGAAAGCAACUCCUGUUGUGAUGUAGGCAAUUUGCAUAUAAGUUUUAGGAAACUCUCUUCAUUUGCUGGAACAACAAAAGCUAACAGCCAGCUACUGGGGAGGCAGAAAAAACUAGUUGGAAAUAUUGGGGAUGUGUAAAGUUUAUGUGAAAGUGAUUGGCAAAGCUUCUUGCUUGCAGAGGAAAAAUAAAACAGCAAGUCAUGCUGGGAUGUAGGCAAAAUGCAUAUAAGUUUGAGGCGACUCCUCCUUUUUUGCUGAAACAAAAUAAAAUAAAAUUGGAUAGCUUUGUGCGAAGCUUACCUGGAAGUGAUGUUGAAGCUUCUUGCUUGGGCGUGUGCAUAAAACCUCGAAAACGUUGCUUUCACAUUGUUUUAGAAUUUAGUGAGGCCCU